UGGACCCUUUGGUGGGCGCUGCCCAGUGACCUUCAAGAAGAUGUACGAGCAGAAGCAGAAGGAGCUGCUGAAGCAGUUUGAGAAGCAGGAGAAGAAGCUCAGAGACCUCAAAGCCGGGGGGCAAAUCCACCAAGCAGGCGGAGAAGCAGACCAAGGAGGCGCUGACGAGGAAGCAGCAGAAGUGCCGGCGCCGGGCGGGGCAGCGAGGAGCGGGGCGAGGGGCCGGAGCUGCUGAGGCGGCCGCGCGAGUACAGCGUCCGCUUCACCUUCCCCAACCCGCCCCCCCUCAGCCCCCCCAUCCUCGGCCUGCACGGGGUGGAUUUUGGCUACGAGGGGCAGGAGCUGCUGUUCCACAACCUCGACUUCGGCAUCGACAUGGAGUCCAGGGUUUGCAUCGUGGGCCCCAAUGGGGUUGGGAAGAGCACGUUGCUGCGGCUGCUGACGGGGCAGCUGACCCC